rnacentral:tRNA from 1 species
UGCCGGAUCGUCUAAUGGUAGGACAACGGACUCUGAAUCCGUUUAUCUACGUCCGAAUCGUAGUCCGGCAG